CUGAAAAGUAAAUUAAUUUUAGAAGUUUAAAAAACGGUCUGGAAUUUAAAUAGUGAAGAUGAAGGUUAGGUUCACGUUGGUUUUGUUUGUAACGAUGUUCCUCUUGGUGUCAUCCUAUCCUUUCAACGAGAUAUCCGUACCUUCUAUAGACGAUGUCGAGAGCAACGAAAUAUGUUCUAUGGAGCACUGCGAUUGGGAACUGGGCAACUGUGACCUUACGUGUACAAUAAAUUAUGGCAAACAUAAAACUGGACAUGCCGGUCGAAUGUUCCACAGCUGCCUAGCAACUUGCGGGAAUAAUUACUUAAGGUGUACGGUUGCUUGCUUAUAAAUAGUUUUUUUUUCACAAAAAGAUGAUUAUCUGUGUAUGCUAUUUUGUAGGGUAUGAAUUGAAAAGACAUGUAAAAUAUAUAAUACGUUGGCUACAAUUUGGUCACAUCACUAACAGUUUGAUGAGAAUAGUUAUGUGAAUUAUUGAUUGAUAUAUAUAUAGCUUUAUGACGAAAAAAUGAAAAUGUAUAGAAUUUACUUUAUUUUGUUGAUUUAUUCAUUAUUGAUAUUAUACAUUAAAUGGAACCCAUAACAAAAGUUUGAAAAUUUAAGAAUAUGUAAUGUAAACGACUCAGUAGAUCUCGCCCUGUGAAGCAAUAACACAUAAAGCUUUGAUUACUUAGAUAAAAAUGUUAUGUAUCUUACUAUCCUUAUAAAUUGCACUGCUCUUUUCAUUUUCCAGUAUAUUUCUUUUUAAUGAUAUCCAAGAAUAUUUUGAAUGGAUUGACGUUAAUUUCUUUAAAUUACAUAAGCUUAUUUACGUACUUUUUGCUAUAAAUAAAGUGCCUCAAAAGUUACAUGGCGUGACAUCUGAAAACAUAUUAUUGCACUAAUUAACUAUUAACUUAAAAUGUACUAGAUAUUAUGCGCUAAUUACCACAUAUAGACGACACCAAGUGUGAUCUUUGUUAGGGAUUGUGUUUAGUAAAUAUCACGUUCCCUU